CUCAAAUAGAUGCAGUGCUUGUGGAUCUGAUUAUCAGGCAAUAUGUGUUUCUCCUCCACAGUUCUCAAAAGGAGGGCCUUGGAGAUUCAUCUUUAGAAAGCCGAACAGAUCCUCGGAUAGAACCUAACCUUCUUGAACAGAAGAGCUUCAGCAAUGAGAGAACAGCUCGGCCCAGGCAAGACCCAAUCUGCCGUCCAACAUAUUCAAGUUCAUCAGUCACACAAAGAGAGAAAUUAUGCUGGUACCACUUGUCCCCAUUCAAGAGUGGAAUGGGUCUUCAUGGGCCACUGUUCCAGUUUAGCCGUGACAUUAUGAUUGAAGAAAUUGAUUGAAAGACUGUGCAUAGGCAUGCUGUCUGGAGCUCCGAUCAUCUCUGACUGCAGCCCACUAAGCUCCCAUUCAAAGCCAGGGGCGUCUCACCCUGAGACAGCUGAGCAUCAGCAAAUCACGGAUGGUUUGCUCACUUUUCUGAGUUUUGUUGAACUCUCAGCCCAGCAGGCAGGCUGGCAGAAACUCUGUCAAAGAUUAUUGGUAGUCUCUCCUCUCUUCAGUAGGUUCCUGAGUUCGUAUUUAUUUCAGGGCUUCAGAGAAGGUUUAACUCUGACCCACAUUUCACCAUUACUGCACUGAUCUCUACGCCAAGACACCAGGGAUUAAAUUAAAUACGACUAAAUUACUCAAACAAGCACACUGCCUGGGUACAGGGAAUAGAGCCAACACUGAGCUGAGGAUGCUGCAUGCACUCCUCACCACUGCCUUGUGCCCAAUACAAGACAUUUAGUGCCUCAAUGAACAAGUAGAGCACCUUGUCCAAUUUAAAGGACAUACAAAUUAUAGGUUAUAACACACACGCACACACACACAAUUUCUUAGCCUUGCUCUCAUGCCCUCACUCCCACUGGUAUUAUUCUGUGCACUUAUGAAUAUACAAGGCAGAAAAGCAGGACAGAACUGAGAGAGAAUGAGCUCCACUGUAUAUUGUACUGUGACACUCACUGGCUGGAGAUCUUUGUGUUUUACUGCAAAGACUCGCUGGGUGAAGGUUUUUGUUUUGUAAACACUCACUGGCUGGAGAUCUUUCACACAAACACCACAGAAACCAUGAAUAAGGAAACAAAGCUUGUAUUUUUCAAAGAGAAGAACAAAUACAGUUCUGGUUUAUUCUAGUUCAGCUCUAGUUAAGGUUCUACAAGACUGAAAUCCAUUUGUUAUUUUAUCAUGAUUGCUAAGUUGGAUUCUGAAGAUGAAGUCCCUCAAAGAGGUUCAGAUUCUCAUAACUGGCAGUUAUGUGCCGCCCUCUGCUGGUCAUUACUGAAUGUGAUGUUUGAGUGAUGUGUGCCUGUUUAUUUAGGCUGUACCUUUCUAAAGUAUAUAUUUGUUGACUGAAAAGGGAGUACGCCAGCAUUAAUACACAUUACCUCCUCAUAAUAUUGUAUAUUUGUUUGAGUUUAUAUUCAAGCUUUAGAAUCAAGCUAACUUCAUCUUAUACACUAAAAAAUUGGUGAAUUUACUUUAAAACAACGUUGACUUAGAAAUUGCUUGUAAAUUUCACAAAUAA